rnacentral:ncRNA from 1 species
CUUAUCCAGAGAGGCGGAGGGACUGGCCCUGCGAAGCCCAGCAACCUGUUUUAUAAUAAGGUGCUAAUUCCAGCGAAUUAUUCGGAAGAUAAGA